UCCAGCAGCUUUAUUUUCAUAAUCUCAAAGAUCGGUUCAUUUCGUCAGCACGCACCGGAAUCAGUGUCGCCACUCCAGUCCUACGGCUGCAUUUGUCCCGCCUGUGUCCCCUCGAGGGCGGGGUGACUCCCAGAGACUGUCCUUCUCCAGAGAAAGCGACGAAUCUGCCUCCAGCGUCAUCCUGAGUGUGAAGAGAAAAUACCAUUUUCAGAAACUCCUUGGAAGUUUAAUAAGAAAUGCUUUAUUCUGUUGACUCAUGUACCAUCUGCCCAUUUUCCUUACUCUCACAUUCAUAAUAAGAAAUGUCUUUGAAAUAGAAAUGCAAGUUAUAAUCUACUGAAUUGAAAACAAAACCAUGGAAUCACAA